GACUAGACCUAAAUACCCUAAAGGCAUCAGAUCCUAUCUGAUCCUGGAAGCUAAGCAGGAUCAGUCCUGGUUAGUACUUGAAUGGGAGACUGCCAAUGAUUAUUAUUAGGUGUUGUAGGCU
rnacentral:rRNA from 11 species